GGAUGCGAGGGCGAUCUGGCCGCGACAUCUGUCACCCCGUUGAUCGCCAGGGUUGAUUCGGCUGAUCUGGCUGGCUAGGCGGGUGUCCCCUUCCUCCCUCACCUCUCCGUGUGCGUCCCUCCCAAAGCUGCGCGCUCGGCCGAAGAGGACGACCUUCCCCGAUAGAGGAGGACCGUUCUUCGGUCAAGGGUAUACGAGUAGCUGCGCUCCCCUGCUAGAACCUCCAAACAAGCUCUCAAGGCCCAUUUGUAGGAGAACGUAGGGUAGUCAGGCUUCCAAGGCUCCAGACACAUCCAAAUGAGGCGCUGCACGUGGCAGUCUGCCUUUCUUU
ensembl:misc_RNA 7SK 7SK RNA